GGCGGAAUCCGGAGCCCCGGGGCCACGUGGGCCGCCGCGGGCUCGGCGGAGGCCCGGCCGGGGAGACGCCUAAGGCUGCGCGGGGACCGGAUGGCCGCCCCAGAGGGGCUCUGCGGGCACAGUCCGGCGGUAUUCGCGCCGACGUCGCCGCCCACCAGCCGGCCAGGCCAGGGGACAGCGGCCCGGGUCCGGUGGGACCAGCCUCAGUGGCGGAGGCGGCGGGCACCCACCGAGAGGACGUGUCGGGGCCCUGAAGAGCCUGGGCCCGGAAUACCGUAGCGGGAAGGGACCAGUCCCCCUACUGGCGACUGGGCACAGCCACCGGCGUCCUCUCAGGGCGCGGGACUCGAGGAGGAAAGAGGCACAGCUUGGCCUAGGGGUCAGUUAUUCCAGCUGCCAUCGCGCCAGUCAUUCCUGUUGCAGUGGGACGGGAGAGCUCUGGAGGCCAUCCUUUCUCAGAGGGAUGCUUCAGAUGCAGGUCAGCUGCAUCAGACUUCUUGGUUCAGAUCCUGCACUGCCACUCACUGGAUGUACGAUCUUGGGCUACGUACAGAAUUCCUAAGCUGACUGAGCCCUGUGCCUCAGAUUCCUCGUCUGUGAAAACCAGCCUAAUCGCUGUGCAUCCCAGGAGGUUGUAGUGAGGACCAAGUGGACGCAUACAUGGGGAACCCUUGAAACUGCCCUUAGCACAUAGUAAAUGCUCAAUAAAAGUUGUGUGGAUGCUGUU